GACGAACCGUGCGAACGUUGUUCGGAAUCACUGGGCUUAAAGGGCGCGUAGGCGGGCUGUCAAGUCUGGGGUGAAAUGCCGCGGCUCAACCGUGGAACUGCCUUAGAUACUGACGGCCUCGAGGAAGGUAGGGGCAUGCGGAACUGUAGGUGGAGCGGUGAAAUGCGUUGAUAUCUACAGGAACUCCGGUGGCGAAAGCGGCGUGCUGGACCUUUUCUGACGCUGAGGCGCGAAAGCCAGGGGAGCGAACGGG
rnacentral:rRNA from 1 species